rnacentral:lncRNA from 1 species
AACAACAAUGGCUACUCCUUCGAUUCUUCUGAGGGAUCUCAAACGGAAAUCCGCAGAUAUCAUCGGUCAGUAUUCUUCUUCUUUCUGAUGAUUUUAAUUUUUGAUUUAUUAAUACAUCAAUUUGUUCAUGAUUGAUGAUUGAUUUCAAUUAUUGAUGAUACAUGAAUAUGUUUUCAUUUAUUUAUUUAUUUGAUGGAAAAUACUACAGGAGGAGAAUAUGUUUUUAUUUAUUUAUUUGAUUGAUGCAGUACUUAGAACAGAACCAACUGAACUUGAAGUAGCACUUAAAUUCAGGAGAGAACAUUUCAACUCUGAUGAACAGAAGUCCAAAACAUCAUCUGGAGCAACACCAGAAUCUCCUAUCAUCACUCUUGAUAUAUAGUACUAGAUGUAUGUAAUGCUAAUGUAGUACUUUUGUCAUGGCAAUUAUCGCUAUUACUAGUAUGUUUUAUGUGUGUAAAGUAGUAGAGAUGUUUGUCGGCACUUGUGUCAUGGCAAUUAUCCUGCUAGACUAUUAUUAGUAGGGCAGUUAUCGCUAUUUGUAGUAUGUUUUAUGUUUGUAAAGUAGUAGAGAUGUUUGUCGGCACUUGUGUCUUGGCAAUUAUCACUAUUAGUAGUAUGUUUUAUGUGUGUAAAAUAGUAGAGAUGUUUGUCGGCUCUAGUGUCUUGGAAAUUAUCCUGGUAGACUAUUAUUAGUAGGUAGACUAUUAUUAGUAGGUCUCCAAUCUUGGAGGAUUCUGUUCAGAUAGGAUAAUGCAUAAAAAGAAAGUAGACUGACUUUUAAACUAAUGAAAAAAUAAGGGAAUCCCCUACCAUAUUUUCGCAAACUGUUGUGUGUGCUUGUUUAUGUCAUCUGCAUAUCCCUCUAUGCAUUGCAGCCUUGCUACUAGAAAUGGAUUCGAUACUGUGCUUGUUUGAUGACAUUGUUUCUAUUUUUUUUUUUUGCACUAGAAAUGGAUUCGAUACUGUGGGAUCUAAACUCAGAUCCUAAAAAGUAUAGAGGUUUUCAUGUGGUGGAAGUUGGCAACAAUGAACUAGGCUUGUUGUGUGAUAGUUAAUGUUUGCCACCUUCCUUUCACUUGUUGAUGCUUUAGGCUGUCUCAGAGUUUUAUUUUCCUGUUGCCAAUAUCUUUGACUGCAGUUGAUAGUUUUAUCUUUCUUUUCUUGAGGCUUGUCUUUGGUUUAGUGAGAAAUUUGAGGUAGCAGUAGCAGUGAAGUUGCAGCGCAGAGAAUAUUAGGUGUUACUUGGGACUUCAUGAUAAUUUAAUAUUUUAUUGCCACAAUACCACUUG